rnacentral:rRNA from 1 species
CCUACGGGAGGCUGCAGUGAGGAAUAUUGGUCAAUGGGCGCAAGCCUGAACCAGCCAAGUCGCGUGAGGGAAGACGGUCCUAUGGAUUGUAAACCUCUUUUGUCGGGGAGCAAGACACGCCACGCGUGGCGUUCCGGGAGUACCCGGAAGAAAAACAUCCGCCUAAUCCCUGGCCAGCAGCGGCGGUAAUACGAGGGUUGUAAGCGUUACCCGGAUUUAUUGGGUUUAAGGGGUGCGAAGGCGGAAGGUCAAGUCAGCGGUAAAAUGUAGGGGCUCAACCUCUUCGAGCCGUUGAAACUGGUCUUCUUGAGUGAGCGAGAAGUAUGCGGAAUGCGUGGUGUAGCGGUGAAAUGCAUAGAUAUCACGCAGAACUCCGAUUGCGAAGGCAGCAUACCGGCGCUCAACUGACGCUCAUGCACGAAAGUGUGGGUAUCGAACAGGAUUAGAUACCCCAGUAGUC